rnacentral:rRNA from 1 species
AGUGAAGCGGCACAGCUCAAAUCCGAAAGCUAGCCUUCGGGUUCGCAUUGUAAUUCUGUAGAGGAUGAUUUGGGGAAGCCGCCUGUCUAAGUUCCUUGGAACAGGACGUCAUAGAGGGUGAGAAUCCCGUAUGUGACAGGAAAUGGCACCCUAUGUAAAUCUCCUUCGACGAGUCGAGUUGUUUGGGAAUGCAGCUCUAAAUGGGAGGUAAAUUUCUUCUAAAGCUAAAUAUUGGCGAGAGACCGAUAGCGCACAAGUAGAGUGAUCGAAAGAUGAAAAGCACUUUGGAAAGAGAGUUAAAAAGCACGUGAAAUUGUUGAAAGGGAAGCGCUUGCAAUCAGACUUGUUUAAACUGUUCGGCCGGUCUUCUGACCGGUUUACUCAGUUUGGACAGGCCAGCAUCAGUUUCGGCGGCCGGAUAAAGGCUCUGGGAAUGUGGCCUCCACUUCGGUGGAGGUGUUAUAGCCCAGGGUGUAAUACGGCCAGCCGGGACUGAGGUCCGCGCUUCGGCUAGGAUGCUGGCGUA